rnacentral:rRNA from 1 species
CCUAGCGGCUGUAGCGCGGUGGUCCCACCUGACCCCAUGCCGAACUCAGAAGUGAAACGCCGUAGCGCCGAUGGUAGUGUGGGGUCUCCCCAUGCGAGAGUAGGGAACUGCCAGGC